AGAGUUUGAUCCUGGCUCAGGAUGAACGCUGGCGGCGUGCCUAAUACAUGCAAGUCGAGCGAACGGACGAGAAGCUUGCUUCUCUGAUGUUAGCGGCGGACGGGUGAGUAACACGUGGAUAACCUACCUAUAAGACUGGGAUAACUUCGGGAAACCGGAGCUAAUACCGGAUAAUAUUUUGAACCGCAUGGUUCAAAAGUGAAAGACGGUCUUGCUGUCACUUAUAGAUGGAUCCGCGCUGCAUUAGCUAGUUGGUAAGGUAACGGCUUACCAAGGCAACGAUGCAUAGCCGACCUGAGAGGGUGAUCGGCCACACUGGAACUGAGACACGGUCCAGACUCCUACGGGAGGCAGCAGUAGGGAAUCUUCCGCAAUGGGCGAAAGCCUGACGGAGCAACGCCGCGUGAGUGAUGAAGGUCUUCGGAUCGUAAAACUCUGUUAUUAGGGAAGAACAUAUGUGUAAGUAACUGUGCACAUCUUGACGGUACCUAAUCAGAAAGCCACGGCUAACUACGUGCCAGCAGCCGCGGUAAUACGUAGGUGGCAAGCGUUAUCCGGAAUUAUUGGGCGUAAAGCGCGCGUAGGCGGUUUUUUAAGUCUGAUGUGAAAGCCCACGGCUCAACCGUGGAGGGUCAUUGGAAAAUGGAAAACUUGAGUGCAGAAGAGGAAGGUGGAAUUCCAUGUGUAGCGGUGAAAUGCGCAGAGAUAUGGAGGAACACCAGUGGCGAAGGCGACUUUCUGGUCUGUAACUGACGCUGAUGUGCGAAAGCGUGGGGAUCAAACAGGAUUAGAUACCCUGGUAGUCCACGCCGUAAACGAUGAGUGCUAAGUGUUAGGGGGUUUCCGCCCCUUAGUGCUGCAGCUAACGCAUUAAGCACUCCGCCUGGGGAGUACGACCGCAAGGUUGAAACUCAAAGGAAUUGACGGGGACCCGCACAAGCGGUGGAGCAUGUGGUUUAAUUCGAAGCAACGCGAAGAACCUUACCAAAUCUUGACAUCCUUUGACAACUCUAGAGAUAGAGCCUUCCCCUUCGGGGGACAAAGUGACAGGUGGUGCAUGGUUGUCGUCAGCUCGUGUCGUGAGAUGUUGGGUUAAGUCCCGCAACGAGCGCAACCCUUAAGCUUAGUUGCCAUCAUUAAGUUGGGCACUCUAAGUUGACUGCCGGUGACAAACCGGAGGAAGGUGGGGAUGACGUCAAAUCAUCAUGCCCCUUAUGAUUUGGGCUACACACGUGCUACAAUGGACAAUACAAAGGGCAGCGAAACCGCGAGGUCAAGCAAAUCCCAUAAAGUUGUUCUCAGUUCGGAUUGUAGUCUGCAACUCGACUACAUGAAGCUGGAAUCGCUAGUAAUCGUAGAUCAGCAUGCUACGGUGAAUACGUUCCCGGGUCUUGUACACACCGCCCGUCACACCACGAGAGUUUGUAACACCCGAAGCCGGUGGAGUAACCUUUUAGGAGCUAGCCGUCGAAGGUGGGACAAAUGAUUGGGGUGAAGUCGUAACAAGGUAGCCGUAUCGGAAGGUGCGGCUG
rnacentral:rRNA from 1 species